rnacentral:tRNA from 1 species
UCCCUGGUGGCUUAGAUGGUAAAGAAUCUGCCUGCAAUGCAGGAGACCCAGGUUCCAUCCCUGGGUUGGGAA